GUUUUUAAAUGAUUUAAUCGAGGAUUGAAAAUCCUUGUGUCGGUGGUUCGAUUCCGCCCCGGGCCACCA
rnacentral:tRNA from 1 species